AUAACAAAUGCUAAAUGAAAAGAACUCUUAGAAAAGCAAAUUAAGAAAACUAAAAGCUUUUCAAAUGUGAAGUCUUCGCUGUAGGAAACGGAAAUUGUUAUAUCAAACACGAAGACAACAAAAGGAGUAGUUUGACAUUGUUGACCAGUGUGGGACUUAACAGGAAAAAAGUAAAAUUAAUUUGCUAACCGGUAACCAGCAGCAACAGUUAUGUAAAAGAAACCCGUAAAAAAGAUCUCUGACUCUGAUAAUUUCAGAAAAUAUUGCUCUAUAUAACCGCAGCAAAGAUAAACAAAUGCAAUUUUCUGCGAAGUAAACAAAUAAAGGAAUAAAACAUAAGCGAGAGAACAGAGAAAAAGUUUAAAUUUAAUAUUGUUUACAAAACAUAAAACGACAACUGCUUUCAAAGCCCGCUAAAAAAUGAACGAAAAAAUAACAUAAAUGAAAACAACAACAUAUAAAUUAUAAUAAUA